rnacentral:tRNA from 1 species
GGCAUGGCUCAACUGGUAGAGCAACUGACUUGUAAUCAGUAGGUUCCGGGUUCAAGUCCUGGUGCC